rnacentral:rRNA from 1 species
UACGGAGGGAGCUAGCGUUGUUCGGAAAUACUGGGCGUAAAGCGCACGUAGGCGGCGCAGCAAGUCAGGGGUGAAAUCCCGGGGCUCAACCCCGGAACUGCCUCUGAAACUGCAGUGCUAGAAUCUUGGAGAGGCGAGUGGAAUUCCGAGUGUAGAGGUGAAAUUCGUAGAUAUUCGGAAGAACACCAGUGGCGAAGGCGGCUCACUGGACCGGAACUGACGCUGAGGCGCGAAAGCGUGGGGAGCAAACAGG